CCCCUCUCAGGAUUGCACUUGGAGAGUUUGCAAUACUUUACCAGUCUCGGCUAUGGGAGGGAGACUCAAGCAGAGGCAUAUCCAUUCCAUUCCUAACUUGAGCAGUGGCUAGUGAGUGGAAGUCAAGCUGCAACAAAU